rnacentral:rRNA from 1 species
UAUAAAGUGGCGAACGGCUGAGUAACACGUGGGCAACCUGCCCUUUGCACUGGGAUAGCCUCGGGAAACCGAGGUUAAUACCGGAUACUCCAUAUUUGUCGCAUGGCGAAUAUGGGAAAAGCUCCGGCGGCAAAGGAUGGGCCCGCGGCCUGUUAGCUAGUUGGUGGGGUAGUGGCCUACCAAGGCAAUGAUGGGUAGCCGGGUUGAGAGACCGACCGGCCAGAUUGGGACUGAGACACGGCCCAGACUCCUACGGGAGGCAGCAGCG